rnacentral:rRNA from 1 species
AUUGAACGCUGGCGGAAUGCUUUACACAUGCAAGUCGAACGAUGAAGCCUAGCUUGCUAGGUCGAUUAGUGGCGAACGGGUGAGUAAUAUAUCGGAACGUAUCCAAUAAUGGGGGAUAACUAGUCGAAAGAUUGGCUAAUACCGCAUACGUCCUACGGGAGAAAGCUGGGGAUCGUAAGACCUGGCGUUAAUGGAGCGGCCGAUAUCUGAUUAGCUAGUUGGUGAGGUAAAGGCUCACCAAGGCGACGAUCAGUAGCUGGUCUGAGAGGACGACCAGCCACACUGGAACUGAGACACGGUCCAGACUCCUACGGGAGGCAGCAGUGGGGAAUUUUGGACGAUGGGCGAAAGCCUGAUCCAGCCAUUCCGCGUGAGUGAAGAAGGCCUUCGGGUUGUAAAGCUCUUUCGCAAGGGAAGAACACUUACUUAAUAACACUAAGUGAGGUUGACGGUACCUUGAUAAGAAGCACCGGCUAACUACGUGCCAGCCGCCACAGUAACAC